rnacentral:rRNA from 1 species
AAAUUGAAGAGUUUGAUCAUGGCUCAGAUUGAACGCUGGCGGCAGGCCUAACACAUGCAAGUCGAACGGUAACAGGAAGCAGCUUGCUGCUUUGCUGACGAGUGGCGGACGGGUGAGUAAUGUCUGGGAAACUGCCUGAUGGAGGGGGAUAACUACUGGAAACGGUGGCUAAUACCGCAUAACGUCGCAAGACCAAAGAGGGGGACCUUCGAGCCUCUUGCCAUCAGAUGUGCCCAGAUGGGAUUAGCUUGUUGGUGAGGUAACGGCUCACCAAGGCGACGAUCCCUAGCUGGUCUGAGAGGAUGACCAGCCACACUGGAACUGAGACACGGUCCAGACUCCUACGGGAGGCAGCAGUGGGGAAUAUUGCACAAUGGGCGCAAGCCUGAUGCAGCCAUGCCGCGUGUAUGAAGAAGGCCUUCGGGUUGUAAAGUACUUUCAGCGGGGAGGAAGGUGUUGUGGUUAAUAACC